AGCGUACACGGUGGAUGCCCUGGCAGUCAGAGGCGAUGAAGGACGUGCUAAUCUGCGAUAAGCGUCGGUAAGGUGAUAUGAACCGUUAUAACCGGCGAUUUCCGAAUGGGGAAACCCAGUGUGUUUCGACACACUAUCAUUAACUGAAUCCAUAGGUUAAUGAGGCGAACCGGGGGAACUGAAACAUCUAAGUACCCCGAGGAAAAGAAAUCAACCGAGAUUCCCCCAGUAGCGGCGAGCGAACGGGGAGCAGCCCAGAGCCUGAAUCAGUGUGUGUGUUAGUGGAAGCGUCUGGAAAGGCGCGCGAUACAGGGUGACAGCCCCGUACACAAAAAUGCACAUACUGUGAGCUCGAUGAGUAGGGCGGGACACGUGGUAUCCUGUCUGAAUAUGGGGGGACCAUCCUCCAAGGCUAAAUACUCCUGACUGACCGAUAGUGAACCAGUACCGUGAGGGAAAGGCGAAAAGAACCCCGGCGAGGGGAGUGAAAAAGAACCUGAAACCGUGUACGUACAAGCAGUGGGAGCCUCUUAAUGGGGUGACUGCGUACCUUUUGUAUAAUGGGUCAGCGACUUAUAUUCUGUAGCAAGGUUAACCGAAUAGGGGAGCCGAAGGGAAACCGAGUCUUAACUGGGCGUUAAGUUGCAGGGUAUAGACCCGAAACCCGGUGAUCUAGCCAUGGGCAGGUUGAAGGUUGGGUAACACUAACUGGAGGACCGAACCGACUAAUGUUGAAAAAUUAGCGGAUGACUUGUGGCUGGGGGUGAAAGGCCAAUCAAACCGGGAGAUAGCUGGUUCUCCCCGAAAGCUAUUUAGGUAGCGCCUCGUGAAUUCAUCUCCGGGGGUAGAGCACUGUUUCGGCAAGGGGGUCAUCCCGACUUACCAACCCGAUGCAAACUGCGAAUACCGGAGAAUGUUAUCACGGGAGACACACGGCGGGUGCUAACGUCCGUCGUGAAGAGGGAAACAACCCAGACCGCCAGCUAAGGUCCCAAAGUCAUGGUUAAGUGGGAAACGAUGUGGGAAGGCCCAGACAGCCAGGAUGUUGGCUUAGAAGCAGCCAUCAUUUAAAGAAAGCGUAAUAGCUCACUGGUCGAGUCGGCCUGCGCGGAAGAUGUAACGGGGCUAAACCAUGCACCGAAGCUGCGGCAGCGACGUUUAUGCGUUGUUGGGUAGGGGAGCGUUCUGUAAGCCUGCGAAGGUGUACUGUGAGGUAUGCUGGAGGUAUCAGAAGUGCGAAUGCUGACAUAAGUAACGAUAAAGCGGGUGAAAAGCCCGCUCGCCGGAAGACCAAGGGUUCCUGUCCAACGUUAAUCGGGGCAGGGUGAGUCGACCCCUAAGGCGAGGCCGAAAGGCGUAGUCGAUGGGAAACAGGUUAAUAUUCCUGUACUUGGUGUUACUGCGAAGGGGGGACGGAGAAGGCUAUGUUGGCCGGGCGACGGUUGUCCCGGUUUAAGCGUGUAGGCUGGUUUUCCAGGCAAAUCCGGAAAAUCAAGGCUGAGGCGUGAUGACGAGGCACUACGGUGCUGAAGCAACAAAUGCCCUGCUUCCAGGAAAAGCCUCUAAGCAUCAGGUAACAUCAAAUCGUACCCCAAACCGACACAGGUGGUCAGGUAGAGAAUACCAAGGCGCUUGAGAGAACUCGGGUGAAGGAACUAGGCAAAAUGGUGCCGUAACUUCGGGAGAAGGCACGCUGAUAUGUAGGUGAAGUCCCUCGCGGAUGGAGCUGAAAUCAGUCGAAGAUACCAGCUGGCUGCAACUGUUUAUUAAAAACACAGCACUGUGCAAACACGAAAGUGGACGUAUACGGUGUGACGCCUGCCCGGUGCCGGAAGGUUAAUUGAUGGGGUUAGCGGUAACGCGAAGCUCUUGAUCGAAGCCCCGGUAAACGGCGGCCGUAACUAUAACGGUCCUAAGGUAGCGAAAUUCCUUGUCGGGUAAGUUCCGACCUGCACGAAUGGCGUAAUGAUGGCCAGGCUGUCUCCACCCGAGACUCAGUGAAAUUGAACUCGCUGUGAAGAUGCAGUGUACCCGCGGCAAGACGGAAAGACCCCGUGAACCUUUACUAUAGCUUGACACUGAACAUUGAGCCUUGAUGUGUAGGAUAGGUGGGAGGCUUUGAAGUGUGGACGCCAGUCUGCAUGGAGCCGACCUUGAAAUACCACCCUUUAAUGUUUGAUGUUCUAACGUUGGCCCCUUACCGGGGUUGCGGACAGUGUCUGGUGGGUAGUUUGACUGGGGCGGUCUCCUCCUAAAGAGUAACGGAGGAGCACGAAGGUUGGCUAAUCCUGGUCGGACAUCAGGAGGUUAGUGCAAUGGCAUAAGCCAGCUUGACUGCGAGCGUGACGGCGCGAGCAGGUGCGAAAGCAGGUCAUAGUGAUCCGGUGGUUCUGAAUGGAAGGGCCAUCGCUCAACGGAUAAAAGGUACUCCGGGGAUAACAGGCUGAUACCGCCCAAGAGUUCAUAUCGACGGCGGUGUUUGGCACCUCGAUGUCGGCUCAUCACAUCCUGGGGCUGAAGUAGGUCCCAAGGGUAUGGCUGUUCGCCAUUUAAAGUGGUACGCGAGCUGGGUUUAGAACGUCGUGAGACAGUUCGGUCCCUAUCUGCCGUGGGCGCUGGAGAACUGAGGGGGGCUGCUCCUAGUACGAGAGGACCGGAGUGGACGCAUCACUGGUGUUCGGGUUGUCAUGCCAAUGGCACUGCCCGGUAGCUAAAUGCGGAAGAGAUAAGUGCUGAAAGCAUCUAAGCACGAAACUUGCCCCGAGAUGAGUUCU
rnacentral:rRNA from 1 species